AACGAACGCUGGCGGCAUGCCUAACACAUGCAAGUCGAACGAGACCUUCGGGUCCUGUGGCGCACUGGAGCGUCACGCGAGGGAACCUUCCCUUAGGUUCGGAAUAACUCCCCGAAAGGGGUGCUAAUACCGGAUAAUGUCUUCUGACCAAAGAUUUAUCGCCUUUGGAGGGGCCCGCGUUGGAUUAGCUAUUUGGUAGGGUAAAAGCCUACCAAGGCUACGAUCCAUAGCUGGUCUGAGAGGAUGGCCAGCAACCCUGGGACUGGGACCCGGCCCGGACCCUCAGGGAAGGCAGCAAGGGGGAAUAUUGGACAAUGGGCGAGUGCCUGAGCCAGCAAUGCCGCGUGAGUGAUGAAGUCCUUAGGGUUGUAAAGGUCUUUUAACCGCGAUGAUAAUGACAGUACCGGGAGAAAAAGCUCCGGCUAACUCCGUG
rnacentral:rRNA from 1 species